rnacentral:misc_RNA from 1 species
UUUUCAUGUAUUCCAUGCUAUUAAUACAAGAUACCUAAUUAUAAGUACCCAAAAUUUCAACAAAUUCAGAAAGGAUCACAGAACAAUCCCAACAAGUCUUAAAGAUCCAACAGCUGAAAUAGAUAAUGAGGCUCUUAAGACAAACAAACUAAAACACAUGAAAUACCAAAUUGGGUGUUCAAUCUUCCUCCUCUCCCUCAUUCUCAGCA